rnacentral:lncRNA from 1 species
CGUGACUGUUUCCACCGAGUCGUCCUGCAACCGCUCUCGCGCGUGCUCGGGCCUCAGACUGUACAGCGGCUCUGACCAGACGGGGGAGGAAGAUGGAGGGCAAUAGUAGGUGAAAGAACUCGGAGAAGCCAUGAUCAGGAGAGCAGCAGACAGUGUGUAGGACUCUGCUUCGUUAAGCAACAACGCGCAUUGAAACUCGAGCGGGCUAAAGCGCUACGGCGAGCGGAUAGAGGCAAAAAGAUUUUGAACGCGAAUGUCUCCUCCCGCCUACCCGUCUUUCGAGUGAGUUACUGAGAUGCUGCCGCCCCCCAUUGGGCAGAGGAGCUGCUGCAAGAGCGUAGAGUCCUGAAGCGCAAGGGUGUCUACAUCCGAAUUUCAUUUCAGCGAGAUGGCGUAGGACGCCUCGGUGCCCAAGAACCCAAUGAAUGUUAAGUUUGAAAGCAUUUCUGACAGCUCUACUGAUUUGCCUCAGUCAGGCAAUUACUAAAAGAAUUAUUGUGCACCUUGGGGUACUUGACAGCCUCCCAGGAGAAGGCAGCAGCUGCUCAAACGUGCAAGGACGCCGUCUCAGUAUCACUCAGUGAUGGAGGGAGGGGGGUAUUAUGAUUUUCUCCUGUCUCUUGGAGGUUACACUGCAGUAGCGAGAACUGAAAUGCAGUACAAGGAACAAGGAUAAGUGAAAUAGACAGUCAGUCCGCAGAUAUUUAUGGAACACCUGCUAUGUGUCAGGCAUUGUGCUAGGUUCUAGGAAUACAAAAGUGAACAAAACGAAGUCCCUUCCCUUGGAAACCUUACAUUCUAAGAAAAUCGACAGAAUUGAAUGUAUCCAACGCAAUAAAUAUAUGAAGACUUGUGAUAAAUGAGAUGAAGGAAAAUAACAGGGUCUAUGAGAGAGACUAAAGGGGUAAGAAACUAAUUGAAUUGUAUGGUCAGGCCAAGCCUCUCUAAAUGACCUUUCAUUUGAGAUCCGAAGGAUGACGAGGAGUCAUCCAGAAGAACAGUAUGGGAAAGAACUCCUGAAAAA